rnacentral:rRNA from 1 species
UACCAGCACCCCGAGUGGUCGGGACGUUUAUUGGGCCUAAAGCAUCCGUAGCCGGUUCUACAAGUCUUCCGUUAAAUCCACCUGCUUAACAGAUGGGCUGCGGAAGAUACUAUAGAGCUAGGAGGCGGGAGAGGCAAGCGGUACUCGAUGGGUAGGGGUAAAAUCCGUUGGCAUCGAUGAGACCACCAGUGGCGAAGGCGGCUUGCCAGAACGCGCUCGACGGUGAGGGAUGAAAGCUGGGGGAGCAAAC